rnacentral:rRNA from 1 species
UACGUAGGGUGCGAGCGUUGUCCGGAAUUAUUGGGCGUAAAGAGCUCGUAGGUGGCGGGUCACGUCGGGUGUGAAAGCCCGGGGCUUAACUCCGGGUCUGCAUUCGAUACGGGUCUGCUGGGGUCCGGCAGGGGAGACUGGAAUUCCUGGUGUAGCGGUGAAAUGCGUAGAUAUCGGAAGGAACACCAGUGGCGAAAGCGGCUUCCUGGUCCAGCACCGACGUUCAGGCACGAAAGCGUGGGGAGCAAACAGG